AUUAUGUGGUAUCUGCAGCAUGCAUCAGCGAAGACCAUGCUCCGUGCUGCCUACAGAGGCACACGUGGCCCGUGACCAAGGGCCCCGCCGCCUGUUUGAAGGUUACACCACAGUGUCCAGCAUACAGGCCAUUCCAGAGAAGUGUCUCCAUGCCAGCCCAAGAAACUCUUGAUAACCGAAGGGAAAACACAUCGUGAUUUCUAACGACGCCGAGAGUCCUCCUGUCUCCUGCACAUCUGGGGGCCUGGGCCGCUCCGCCUGAGUGGUCCUGCAGACCAAGUUGCUGAGGCGUGCAGAUCGCAGGAGUUCUCCCCAGAGAAGGCCCAGGCUUUGCCGCCAAGCAUCCGCCCGUUACUAAUCCGCCACCCAUGAUCUCAAAGAGACGCCCGCCUGCCUCGGACCACACAGCAGCUGCCGGAUGCCCACAGCUUCACAAAGGCAUUCCUGUGUCUGUGGUCCCUGAGCAAGCAGCUACAAAAUGCUGCGUCAUCCUCUUCCCAGAAACCAAUUAGUGUCCUCCGCCUGACCAGGCUCGCUGGUGGCUUUCUCAGUGUGCACAGGAGCAGCGGGCAAUCGCCCUCCUGGUGGAGCCGUCAGCAGGUGGUAGACCAGCAGCCCCAGGGAGGGAAGCACAUGCUCAGAGUCCUAGCCUGCCUGUGUGUGUGCAUGUGUGCAUGUGUGCAUCUUCUAGGACAGCAUGGUCCUCACUGCACAGACCAGUACAGCUGGCCUCAGGAUGCUUGCGUCCUUUCUGGAAUGCAUCUCUGCCCAUCAUUCUCCUUGUUGGCUUGUUCCUUGGAGUGUGUAACAUAGACAGUUACGGGACAUGGCCAGUGUCUGCCUAACCCAUUAAUGGGUUAACCAGCAGGAUGACAAACGUGACUCAGAAGAGAAGUCAGAUCUCGAAGAGACAGUUGGUGGAGGAAAGGCUGCUGGAAAGAGGAUUCCCAGUCAGAUGGAGAAAAGAGGUUGAUCCUGGGGUCCUGGGAUCAAGUCCCGCAUCAGUCUCCCUGCAUGGAGCCUGAUUCUCUCUCUGCCUGUGUCUCUGCCUCUCUCUCUCUGUGUCUCUCAUGAAUAAAUAAAUAAAAUCUUACA
rnacentral:lncRNA from 12 species